rnacentral:rRNA from 1 species
UACGAAGGGGGCUAGCGUUGCUCGGAAUCACUGGGCGUAAAGGGUGCGUAGGCGGGUCUUUUAAGUCAGGGGUGAAAUCCUGGAGCUCAACUCCAGAACUGCCUUUGAUACUGAGGAUCUUGAGUUCGGGAGAGGUGAGUGGAAUUCCCGGUGUAGCGGUGAAAUGCGCAGAUAUCGGGAAGAACACCCGUGGCGAAGGCGGCUCUCUGGGACGGUACUGACGCUGAGACGCGAAAGCGUGGGGAGCGAACAGG